UCAAAGGUGUUUUUCAACACCAUCCAAAAUAUCAAAACAUUUAUA
rfam:Dictyostelium purpureum unplaced genomic scaffold DICPTscaffold_24, whole genome shotgun sequence.